AGAGUUUGAUUAUGGCUCAGAACGAACGCUGGUGGCGUGUCUUAUACAUGCAAGUCGAGCGGUGCAGCAAUGCAUAGCGGCGAACGGGUGAGUAACGCGUAAGCAAUCUGCCCCCUGUUCGGGAAUAGCCGUGCCAACGCGCGGGUAAUACCGGAUAUUGUGGCCCUGGACAUCCGGGGUUGACAAAAGAUUUAUCGACAGGGGAUGAGCUUGCGUCCGAUUAGCUAGUUGGCGGGGCAACGGCCCACCAAGGCGACGAUCGGUAGCCGGCCUGAGAGGGUGAUCGGCCACAUUGGGACUGAGAUACGGCCCAGACUCCUACGGGAGGCAGCAGUAGGGAAUAUUGCACAAUGGGGGAAACCCUGAUGCAGCAACGCCACGUGUGGGAAGAAGCAUUUCGGUGUGUAAACCACUGUCGUGAGGGAAUAAGGCUGAGUUUCGGCUCAGUUGAAUGUACCUCGAGAGGAAGCACCGGCAAACUUCGUGCCAGCCGCCGC
rnacentral:rRNA from 1 species